CCUGUCUCGGACACUCCACUAGAACUCCCCGGCCAUAUCUCCAGCUCUUUGAAAAGGGGAAACCAAUAAGAUUAAAUCGGACAAAGAUUUUUUUUCUGUAAGUGUAUCAUUAAGAUUUAACUCCACAGAUUGGAAAGGGGCUCCGCGGGAGAAGAGGACAGCAGCGAGAGGGGCAGCGAAUGGGAGCAGGGUAGGGGUUCUAAUAGAAAGCUGGGAAACGGCGAGAGAAAAAGGAAAAAGUGGACAGCAGGACAUUAAAAGAAGAAGCACCGGCCACGACGGUUACAAGAAGAGGAGCAGCCUUCAACCUGGAUUAAACCAGACACCAAUAAGGCAAAGAGCAACAUGGCGGCCAGGUGUUCAGAAACACAGCGGGACGUGUUGGUGUGGUGCAAGGACUGACAAUGGGAUGAGAUCCGAGUCAGUUUCCCCUCAGAUGUUCCCUUUGACCUUUGACCCAACAGUUGGGGUCAAGCCCUGACAAAUGAGAUGGUCGAGUUUUGGCCAGAACUGCAAACAUUCCACAACAAUCUUCUGUCCUCCUCCUCCUCCUCCUCCUCCGCUCUUCUCAUAUCCGUCACUCCGGUAUGUCUCCUACACGAGGGGAGGGAGAAAGUUCUCAUUACAUGCAAACAUGUUUUAUUGAAUUUGCUGUGGGAAUCUUAAAACACACACCCUUGGAAUUAAGAAUUACGGCAUCGGUUAAAUUUAAUAUCCCCAACAUCUGCUUUAUUUACUAAAGGAAAGAAAACAAAAAGGGUAUGAACAUAGGAUAAAGAUAUGUGUUAAAGAUUUAGAUUUUAUAGCCCUGCACUUUGAAAGCAAACUGUGUGUUUGGAAAGCUUGUCAGUGAUGUCAAGGAUGAGAAAUGUUGCAGUGUGGUUUUUUACACACACUGCUGGCUCUAGCAUUUCCGGCAACAUUUCUCACUCUGCCUCCCUCACACCAUCCGCGCUGCUGCAAUAUCCCCACAUUUUCCCAUCCUUUCACUUCUUCCCCUUCCUCCCCCUCCUCCGUCUCUGAUCGCCUCGUCUCCACUCUAUGACCACUCUUGCCCCCGUUACCCUUCCUGCACCACCCUGCUCAAUCUCAGCCUCUCCCUCCCUUCGCUCACCUCCCAGCACAUUCACUCACUCCCCCCUUUUCCUCUACCCACUAUUUUCUCUGUUUUUCUAACCUGUCGUUCCACAGAAUGCUACCACCUGUGUCUUUAGAGGCAAAAAGGAGGGGGGGGGGGGCUAUUGGUAUUCCUUUUUGGAAAGCUGGUUAAGGUAAGUGGCACCCUCUAUUACAAUGACACGGUAAAUUAUGGUGCUGCCAGUUGUGUUUCUGCAUUACAUUUUUUUUUUCAUGGAAAGACCCCGGCUUCCUAAGCAUCACCAUCCUCUAUCAAAGCUCUAGCUACAAGUCACUGCUGUAAAAACACACACGGUCACCAUUGAUGAACAACAGCAGAGCAACCUCAGUGCCACAAAGGAGCCUGGAGACCAACAAAGCCGGCUGAUACAGUAACAGAGUGGAUCAUACUCUUGAAAUUGCUUUCAUAAUGAUGUAAUAUUACUAAAAGGCAAUGCAACACAGCAAAGAUCUUAAUAAAAACACAUCAAUCUCAA